rnacentral:rRNA from 1 species
CCUCAAAUCAGGUAGGACUACCCGCUGAACUUAAGCAUAUCAAUAAGCGGAGGAAAAGAAACUAACAAGGAUUCCCCUAGUAACUGCGAGUGAAGCGGGAAAAGCUCAAAUUUAAAAUCUGGCAGCAUUGGCUGUCCGAGUUGUAAUCUGGAGAAGCAUUUUCUGUGUCGGACCGUGCACAAGUUUCCUGGAACGGAAUGUCAUAGAGGGUGAGAAUCCCGUCCAUGACACGGACCACCGAUGCAUUGUGAUAUGCUCUCGAAGAGUCGAGUUGUUUGGGAAUGCAGCUCAAAAUGGGUGGUAAAUUCCAUCUAAAGCUAAAUAUUGGCGAGAGACCGAUAGCGAACAAGUACCGUGAGGGAAAGAUGAAAAGCACUUUGGAAAGAGAGUUAAACAGUACGUGAAAUUGUUGAAAGGGAAACGCUUGGAGUCAGUCGCGUUGGCCAGGAUUCAGUCGCUCUUAUCGGAGUGGAUUACUUCCUGGUGAACGGGUCAACAUCGAUUUUGAACGGCGGAUAAAGGGGAGGGGAAUGUGGCACCUUCGGGUGUGUUAUAGCCCUUCUUUCGCAUACGCCGGCCGGGAUCGAGGAUCGCAGCACGCCUUUAUGGCCGGAGGGCUCGCCCUCACGUUACGUGCUUAGGAUGUUGGCAUAAU